CUGGGAACUGCAUUCGAAACUGGCAGGCUUGAGUCUUGUAGAGGGGGGUAGAAUUCCAGGUGUAGCGGUGAAAUGCGUAGAGAUCUGGAGGAAUACCGGUGGCGAAGGCGGCCCCCUGGACAAAGACUGACGCUCAGGUGCGAAAGCGUGGGGAGCAAACAGGAUUAGAUACCCUGGUAGUCCACGCCGUAAACGAUGUCUACUUGGAGGUUGUGCCCUUGAGGCGUGGCUUCCGGAGCUAACGCGUUAAGUAGACCGCCUGGGGAGUACGGCCGCAAGGUUAAAACUCAAAUGAAUUGACGGGGGCCCGCACAAGCGGUGGAGCAUGUGGUUUAAUUCGAUGCAACGCGAAGAACCUUAC
rnacentral:rRNA from 1 species